AUGAUUUGGCUAACUCUUACCACCUGCGAACACACACAAGUGACACCCACAGCAAACCACACCCCGAACCAACUCACAUUUGAAUUCAGUCUAAAACUAGGUCAAAUCAGGAAGUGCAGUCACCCUUUAAAGAUUUUAACACCUGGGAGGAGCAGGAAGCAGGCUAUGUCCAGGCAUGUAAUGUACUGUACUGUAUCUCUGUAUGGUACAGACUAGAGAAGUCCAACUCCUAAACCCUGUUCACUGACUCCACACUGCCAGGUACUGUAACCUCUUACCACUGCCUCUCAGCCCCUGAGCUCCCCUCUGAUUAAUCCCAGCAGCACCUGCAUCUUUUUUAAUGCUAGCAUUACUGCACUUGUAUCCCUUCCAAAAAGGGUUGAGGAAACUGUAAAAGCUGCACUUUUAAUUUCAUUUUUUUUUGCUAAGGGAGGAGAAUUGUACAUUUUGGUAUUACGUAAAAGUUCCAGGGUUUUAAGAAAAAUAAAUGUUGUGGUUGCAUUUGCAGAAUGUGUGUCAGAAGGAGUUCAGUAGAGGGAGGUGCAGAAACAGUAGUCAGCUUUGGGCAUUGUGCCAGCCAGAAGAUAAAUGUAGCCUAGGUGUCCAAUUCAUUUUUGUUAUUCAAAAGCCAUAAUUAAGAGCUGAGAAUGUUCUCUACAGAUCCAUUUCCCCAAUUAAAUAUUGCAUUAUUUAGUUUAGUACAUAGCUAUUAGAUAGUAAUUACACAAUGUAAUUUGAAAAGUGGAUACCAGUUGCUGAUUGUGAUCAGAAUGUAUAUAUUGACAUGGUGGUGCAUUAAUACUUAGUCCAGUUAUGUUGCCCAUGGUCUC
rnacentral:lncRNA from 13 species